UACAUGCAAGUCGAGCGGUCCUUCGGGACAGCGGCGAACGGGUUAGUAACGCGUGGGAACGUGCCCUUUAGUACGGAAUAGCCAUUGGAAACGAUGAUUAAUACCGUAUACGCCCCAAGGGGGAAAGAUUUAUCGCUAAAGGAUCGGCCCGCGUUAGAUUAGGUAGUUGGUAGGGUAAUGGCCUACCAAGCCGACGAUCUAUAGCUGGUUUGAGAGGAUGAUCAGCAACACUGGGACUGAGACACGGCCCAGACUUCUACGGAAGGCAGCAGUAGGGAAUCUUGGACAAUGGGCGAAAGCCUGAUCCAGCCAUGCCGCGUGAGUGAUGAAGGCCCUAGGGUUGUAAAGCUCUUUCGCCAGGGAAGAUAAUGACGGUACCUGGUAAAG
rnacentral:rRNA from 1 species